ACGAGGCGGCGAGAGGAGAAGCGACGCGGAGAGAGGCGGAGAGAACCGGAGAGGUCGCGAGAAGCGGAGAGGCGGAGAGAGGUGGAGAGAAGCAACGACGCGGCGAGAGGAGGAGAGACGCAGAGAGAGGCGGAGAGAAGAUGAUAGGUCGCGAGAAGCGGAGAGACGGAGAGAGGUGGAGAGAAUCGACGAGGCGGCGAGAGGAGAAGCGACGCGGAGAGAGGCGGAGAGAACCGGAGAGGUCGCGAGAAGCGGAGAGGCGGAGAGAGGUGGAGAGAAGCAACGACGCGGCGAGAGGAGGAGAGACGCAGAGAGAGGCGGAGAGAAGAUGAUAGGUCGCGAGAAGCGGAGAGACGGAGAGAGGUGGAGAGAAUCGACGAGGCGGCGAGAGGAGGAGAGACGCGGAGAGGCGGAGAUAAGAGGAGAGGUGGAGAGAAGCGGAGAUGCGGAGAGGCGGAGAGGUUUCCGUUGUUGAUUUCACCGGAGGGAACAGAACGAAGCAGACACAAUCGCCAU
rnacentral:lncRNA from 1 species